CGCAGCCGCGGUAAUUCCAGCUCCAAUAGCGUAUAUUAAAGUUGUUGCAGUUAAAAAGCUCGUAGUUGAAUUUCGGGAUCAAUUUAUUGGUCGUGCUAUUGUACGUACUGGUAUUAUUGAUUCCUACCUUCUGACGAACCAUGAUGUCAUUAAUUUGGUGUCUUGGGGAAUCAGGACUGUUACUUUGAAAAAAUUAGAGUGUUUAAAGCAGGCUCACGCUUGAAUACAUUAGCAUGGAAUAACGAAAUAGGACGUUUGAUUCUAUUUUGUUGGUUUCUAGGAUCGACGUAAUGAUUAAUAGGGAUAGUUGGGGGCAUUAGUAUUCAAUUGUCAGAGGUGAAAUUCUUGGAUUUAUUGAAGACUAACUACUGCGAAAGCAUUUGCCAAGGAUGUUUUCAUUAAUCAAGAACGAAAGUUAGGGGGAUCGAAGACGAUCAGAUACCGUCGUAG
rnacentral:rRNA from 1 species